GCUUGCUUCGGCAGCGCAUAUACUAUAAUUGGAACGGUACAGAGUUUUAGCACGGUCCCUGAGCAAGGAUGACACACAAAUUUGUGAAACGUUCUGUAUUUUU